AUACGGAGGGUGCAAGCGUUAAUCGGAAUUACUGGGCGUAAAGCGUACGUAGGCGGUUCGUUAAGUUAGAUGUGAAAGCCCCGGGCUUAACCUGGGAACUGCAUUUAAAACUGGCGAACUAGAGUUGAGUAGAGGGGAGUGGAAUUUCAGGUGUAGCGGUGAAAUGCGUAGAGAUCUGAAGGAACACCAGUGGCGAAGGCGGCUCCCUGGACUCGAACUGACGCUGAGGUACGAAAGCGUGGGUAGCAAACGGGAUUAGAAACCCUAGUAGUCC
rnacentral:rRNA from 1 species